UUUCUUUUCAUCUGUCUCCCCUCUAUCUCUCUGCACCUCUUUCUUUUCUUCCAAAGUCUUUCCCUUUCCUUCGCCGCACUUCUCCUCUCUAAAACCUCUUUCUUUUCUUUUCUACUUCCUUCAUUCAUUGCUUUUCCCAAUUAAGCUAAUUUUGCUCGUAAAAAUCUCACCUUUUUAAUCUCAUCUUCUUUCCCCCAAGAAACUAGGGUUUCGUCAAAUGUUACCCCUUUUGGCAAACAGGCACACCAUUGUUUUGAUUCAAACUUCGCAAAAUAGAGCACCUAGAACGUUUGUGGAUUAUGAUUCUAUCAGUCAAAGCUAUGGACAUUAUACGUGAACUAUAUGAAAGGAAACUUAAAAAGCUCAACCCAGCAACUCAAAGCAUAACGUAUGACGUUGGUGUUCUUUACAAUUUUAUUGAUGGCCUUGCAGAUAUGAUUGCCCUCGUUCAAAAGGGACAAUUCAAAUGGAUGCCUUUUCACCAUGUGAUAAAAGAUUGUGAUUUUAGGAGGACAUUCACAAGGCCUUGGAGUCAUUGAAGAGUGGACAUCAAAAGGGAAGCUUUUAUUUUCUAUUGCAACUAUUUUUUAUUUUCUUUCAAUUCUCAAGUUUAGUUACUUAAUUAUAACAAUUUACAGCUUAAUCAAUCAUCAUUGAUUAGUUGCCAAGAAAUGGAACAAAUAAUCAAACACCAAAUAUUUGAUAAUAUAUCUGUAAAUCAGAUUUGUAAGGUUAGUUACUUGCAAUCACUUUAAGAGUUUUUACAA